rnacentral:lncRNA from 1 species
CCCAACCUCUCAGUCACGGGGUAUUUAGGACUUCUAAUCCUAAAAGGGAAUAAAAGGGGUAGGGGAUUUAUGGAGUUUAAAGGAUAAAAUACUGGUUUCGACAUACAAAACAAGUAACAAAUAGAGGGAAUGCACAAACAAACAGGUGAGGCUAAAAUAAAAGCCCUUAAAUCAUGCAAACACUUAGUUUAACAUGUCUUGACACGUACUGAUUUGGACUUUAAAUUAAACUUAAGCAGCGAACGGACUGGUUUAACACAUAUAGUUAGAUAGAAAGUCUGCAUUAGGCAACUCUGAUCCACUUGUCAGAUAUUAAGGUAUUUUAAGCGAGUUAUGUAGAAAGUACUGGUUUCAAAAGGUAACCUAAUGUAGAAGAACUUUGAAAAGAAAGAACAGACAACAAUGAAUUUAGGAAAUAGGUUUUUAGAAGAAAGGUCAGCAAACUGUCCAAGUUCAAAACACAGAAAUAGUUAUAAAAGAAUUUCAGAGACAAAAGGGGACUAUCUAAGGUAAAAGGGUAAGCUGCAUAUCUGUUUUAAAAGACGAGUUCAGGGAUUGAGUAAAACGUCUAGGCAGAAUUUUAGAAAAAAGAAACUGUUUCAGAGAAAAGACGUGUUAAUUAAAGAAAUGGUUUACAGAGAAAGUGAGCACUGGUUUGAGGUCAGUUUUUACUGAAAAGAUUAAGUUUCAGAAAACGUUACUGAGUUAAGGUGUAAAGAAUCAGUUAACAGAUUAUUAUUGCUUAAAACGAAACAGACGAGUUUGAUGAGAAGUCCUAUAGGAAUGAUAUCUAUAUUUGAUUUUUUAGAGCCUAUUAUUGAACUUAAAAAAGGAUGAUUGUUUGAUUUACCCUAUAGUUUGCCUAAUGAAUAUGCAUUCCCUAUAGAUAUGAAAUCUAUAUGGGAAUUUUCAAAAAAAAGGUUUUUUAAAGUCAUAUAGGCAGGAUCUCUAGUGAUUUGCAAUAAGAUUUAAAACUUAUAGGCAUGGUAUCUAUGUGAUUGAAUUAGAAAUAUUAAACAGACAUAUAGGCAGGAUUUCUAGUAAAAACAAAUAGAUUCCUAAAGCAUGGUAUCUACCCUUGAGAAAAGUAAAACCCCUCCCACACCCUUUUACUAUAUUCCCCGAGUUUUAUACAAGUUAUUACUAACUAGAAAAAGGUAUAAAAAUACAUCAAAGACCAAUAGCUAGAUCCAAACUGCCUAAUUCAAUCUUAUUGUCCCACAAUAUGUGAUUAACCAAUUCCGGAAUCCAGAUUUCCAAAGCCUUCUAUUUAUCCAAAGUAUUUCAAAGUUUCAAGGAGUCUCAAGGAUUUCCGGCAUUUCUUACGCUCAGGAUACCACUUAGAAUUAGAAUAGUGCAGUGUGGAAUAGCCAGCUCUCAGGUAUCCAAGUUCAAAGGGAGCUCAAGGGUCCCAAAUCAUGGCUUUCAAGAGAGGGGCAGCUUAAAGCUAGGAGUAAGUGCAAAGUGCAAAAAGAAAUGGGGAACCCUAACAAAUGAUGGUCAUACCCAGCCACAUGUGCAGACUGGCACACUCCUGACUACUUGUUUGGGUUAAGCAAGUUAGGAGCAGACCUUUGAAGGUCAGACCUAAGUAUGGAUAGUGAUUAGGGCACUACCAGACCCAAGUCAAGGCUCAAACACAUAAAGGGGAAAAGAGAAGUGGGACUAGAUUAUGUUAGGGAGUUAAGAACCCAGUUCAGAGCCACAGACAAUAAUAUUAAAGCGUUGUUAUGCCUGGAACCACAACUCACACACAAAGGGGUAAGGGGUAAGGGAUUCACAUAAGUACAUUAAUAACAUAAACAUAAUGAAAGAAAGCAUAACAGACUAGGAUGAAACACAUGGUGAAGGAGCAUUACUUAACUAGGAAGAACAUACCAGUUGCAAAGUAAGAAUAAGAAGAAAAACAGAGCAAUCACAGUAAGUAGAACAGUAGUAGCAAACUCAAAUUUCAGCAGAACACUUGAAAUCUCGAAGAGAACUCAAAGUUAUUUCAGAAAGCAAGGAGUAGAAGUAUAGAGAAGAAGAGAGUAGAAAACAGAGUGCUUAAUACUAUGAGAAAGCAAUUUUAUUGUGAAAACUUCAGUGUUAAAGCGUGUAAAGCUUGUUGUCAAUUGCAAAAGGGGCCCUCUUUUAUAGUACAGAAAACGAGUAGAAAGAGGUAAGAAAAUAACUUUGAAAAUCAGUUUCAAUGAUUUCCCUUCAAUCAAGAGAUUUGAUUUCAAACGGGCAGGAUAAUUAAGAAAAGGGUUUGGUUCAAAAAUCUUUUCCAAAGCAGCAAUAAGGGUAGAUACACAGAAAUUUAUUUAAGGCAUGAGUCUAGUAAUACACGGUUUGGAAAAAUAAGGAAAGGCAAUCAAUCAGUAGGCAGUAAAAAUCAGGAUUUGAGUCUUGGUACGAAUGAAUCCAACCAGAAAAAGGUGAAAAGAGGUUUAGUUUAAAGAAUAUCAGUAGCAGUCAAUCAAAUCUUAGAAAAAGGAGUUCGGAAUCAAUCACAAGUUGGCAAAAAGCCUUUCGAAAGAAAGUUUCAUAUAUAAAGCAUACAGACAACACAAACAAGAGAGAAUCGUAUAGAAAAUCCAGAGUCAUAACAAAG